ensembl:lncRNA
AAAUACUAAACCUAAAUAUAUCUAGUACAGAUAACUUGUCUAUCCAUGGAGGAUCUUCACUCCCAGGCAAGGGAGCUGCAAUCCAUGAAACGAACAUAUAGGCAUAAUAAAACACAGAGCCGGGGCUUUGCUACUGUUUCUGGACUACAAUUCCCACAAUCCCCAGCCAGAUUCAAGGAGUGGAAAUCCAAAACGGGGAACGUCCCUGAGCACGGAUAAAACGUUAGCCUCUUCAUGUGCCAUAUAGUCAUUGCCUAACGAAGCCCGUUAACAUUAGGAACGGGGAAACCUAACGGAAUGGGCUCCCUCCUCGUUCCUCCCGGCAUCACGGCAACGUUACUCGCGACCCGUUACUUCCCAGCUUUGUUCAAAAGUUGUUCCCGAAAUGUUGUUUUCGAAACAGUGGCGUCGCGGGAAUCCCGGGGGCGAACGAGCUUCUCUUGAAGUCCCUAGAACGACCCCUUCCAGCCAUCAUCACGCAACAACAACGACGACGACGACGACGGGCCUGUCCCUUUAAGACCCUUUCGGGCCCGCAGCCCAGGCGAGCCGGCCCGGGCCUCGCCCUGUGAGCCGCCCGAAGCUUCUUCCCCGCUGCUGGUUUGUUUUCCUGCCGCCGCAAAAAUGAGUUUUUAAUUCGUGGUUCCUCGCCCAGCCCGCGACUUUUUUCCGAGUUGCGCCAGAGAUUCCCGAGAGAAGCCCCUUGGUCUCCCCUGGAGGAAAUUUGGAAAUCGUCGUUUUCCUGGAAGCAAAGGGAAAAGAAAAAACAGAUUCUCUCUGCAUUCCACUCCGGGAGCCUCCAAGCACACAGCUGGGUUGGGAGCUCGCAAAGAAAAUGGAGCAUGAAAUGGAGGCCGUGGCGGAAGGAGGGACGGUAAUGUGCGGUGAUCCGGACUCUGACACCAGAACCGCCGGAGCGCAGGUAAGAGGCAGGCCUCUUAUGAGCUGGAAGAAGAGGGAUGAACGGAAACAGUCGGCAAGUGCCCGCAGAAACAGUGCCCUUGGCAAUAAUUCUGCCCGUUAGCAAACUCAAGAGGGUGAGUUUGCUAAUGGACAGAAUUAGCAAAUUCUGGCAACAGGACGGGCGUUAAAAUGGGGUCAGUAAGAAAGGCAAGGGAUGUAAAAGCAUGCAGAAAUACUAUUUUAAACAUACAUGCCUUGCAGAGGGAACCCACUCCAUCUAAGCUGACCAAGAAGGCCUGCCUCCUCCAGGAACCACAUUAUGCUGAGUGUCACUGGGAAAAGAAAGCCACAGGGAAUAGGGAGUCUUCCUUAAGCCCCUAAAACAAGCUUUCUGCACCUUGGAGGAGGGCAUGGCUGACGGAAGACCUUUGCGGGUGUCUCUCUGUUACGUGGAGGCAAAGACGGUAGAGUGGAGGGUUUAAUUGCAAGUCCCAUGUGUUGUGUGUCCUUUGCUGAGAAAUGUUACUUCCUAACCUUAGUUAUUAUGCCCUUACCUUUGUCACCUGCUGUUUUCCUCUCAUGAGAUCAGAUUGUCGUAUGUGUGGCUUUCUUCCUUCACCACUCUUAUCGCCACAUGUGAGGUAGGCAAGCGUGCA